GUCACUCAGGCCUCAUUAGCCAAUUAGAACCUGUAGUCGGAGCAUCAGUUAUAAGAGAGGAGGGCUCUUCCUGGCGCCAGGCUCCAGGCCCCAGGCUCCGUCCUGAAGCUGGGGAAGUAAGUGCCAGUGGUUCUUUGCACGUUCCAGGAGCUGUGAAGGGUGCGUGCGAGCUUGGAAGCCACAGUAUGGUAAUUUUGUGAGCAGAUGGUGGAGGUUUUUUGAAAACAGGGCUGUAAAUGCCAUUGAGUUCUGAAAUGUCAUGGAGGGGCUGUUCUUGUUGAACAGUGGAAGAGCGUUGAGAGAAUCACUGACAGUUGAAGGCCGAGUUUCUGGAGUCUCAGAAGGGAACCUAGAAGUAUUAGUUAUUAAGUCAAGGGCCAUUUGUUUAAUAUUUUGACUCAGAGACUGUGUGUGCUAACUCUGCUGGUCCUGUGGAGGCAGCAGCAUCUGUUGAAGAAAACACUACCAUGGAAUGGUGUUGAGGUCUGUGCUGCUCCAAGGUUUUCCCUGAGGCCAUGAUUUAUGGAGAGAAAAAAAAAGUAGUUCCAGAAGCAUGUUUGGCAGAGUCAUUAACAGAGCAGGAAAGAGAUUCCAUCCUUUAACAUCAAGACAGGAGCAUGGCAGCAUCCAGGCAGACAUGGUGCAGGAGGAGCUGAGAGUUCUACAUCUUCAUAUGAAGGCUGCUAAUUGAAGGCUGAAUUCCAUGCAGCCUGUACCAACAGUGACACACCUACUCCAACAAGGCUAAACUAACUCCAAGAGUGCCAUACCUUCUAAGAAUGCUACAUCCUGGACUGAAUAUAUAGAUAAGAUCUAUGAAGCUAAGAAAUGCAUGCUGACAGGAAUCAGAUAAAGAUGUCUCCUGAGAGACACAGUUAGAGCAUGUGAAAUAGAGAGGUGAAUGCUAGCAGCAAACCACUAAACUGAGAACGGGACUCCUGUUGGAGGAAUUAGAGAAAGGAUUGAAAGAGCUGAAGGGGCUUACAACCCCGUAAGAGCAGCAUUCCAACCAACCAGAGCUUGCAGGGACGAAACCACGACCCAAAUACUACACAUGGAUGGACCCAUGGCUCCAACUCAUAGGGAGCAGUGGAUGGCCUUGUUGGGCAGCAAUGGAAGGAGAAGCCCUUUGUCAAUAUAAGUAAAAUUUUUAAGAGAUAAGUGACAUCAUGAACAGCAGAGGACAAGGGUAGAAAUGACAAUUUAUGGAGUCCGGUCUUCGCAUGCUGUGAAAUUGUAAAGGAAAGGCAGCAGAGUAUUGUGAGAAAAACAGUCCAAGGAGAGUAAUGGACACAGAUGUGUAACCCUGUAGCUAUCUGCCCAGGGUUUCAACAGAGGUCAAUGUGUUGCAUUGUUGAGAUGGCAGCUCUGUCCCCCUUUGCACAAAAUCGGAUACCACUUAGGCUCAUGUCACUCCUUCCUCAGGACUUAGCCCUUCCAUUAGGUUAGUUGUCAGUGUCCACAGACUGCACUAAGCCAACCUUAUCAAUCAGGCCACUGUUCAGUAUUCAUUUUAAUCUCUCAGAGACUCCUCAGUCCACUCCUUUGUAGCUUCCCAUCACACAUGUGCCUUCUUGCCUUUAGCUGUUUGUAUGUAGUGCUUCCAGGUUUCUGGUUUGUGUUGUCUUAACUGUUCCCCUCCAGCAUAGAGCCCAGAGUCUGACAAACACUGACCUCUAACUCCCUCCUUCAGUUAAAUCUGUUCCCAAUAUAUACUACAUGCACUUAAUAUGUGAAGGGAAUGUACAUUGCCUGUCCCUCUGAUUUGUGAGGGUAUAUCAUAAAGUUGCUAAAUAGUACACCUUGAUGUACUG
ensembl:lncRNA